rnacentral:rRNA from 1 species
AACGAACGCUGGCGGCAGGCCUAACACAUGCAAGUCGAGCGAUCCCUUCGGGGAUAGCGGCGGACGGGUGAGUAACGCGUGGGAACAUGCCCUUGGGUACGGAACAACAGCUGGAAACGGCUGCUAAUACCGUAUGAUGUCUUCGGACCAAAGAUUUAUCGCCCAGGGAUUGGCCCGCGUUGGAUUAGGUAGUUGGUGGGGUAAAGGCCUACCAAGCCGACGAUCCAUAGCUGGUCUGAGAGGAUGAUCAGCCACACUGGGACUGAGACACGGCCCAG